GGCUAUGAGUGGGACCAAGUCCAGAAGCCCAGAGUGGCGCUGAAUGUGGGCUCAGUGAGCCCAGAGAGGGGCUGAGUGAGAGAUCAAGGGGUCUGAGUGCCCAGAGAAGGGCUGAGUGAGGGACCAGGGUGUCCGAGAACCCAAGGGGACUGAGUGUGGGACCUGAAGAUCUGAUAGCCCGGAGCGGGGCUGAGAGUGUAGAAAAAGAAUAUCAGUGAGUGAUGACAUCUGCGAGGCAUGGGGCAUGGUAUAGGGACAGAUGGAGCCACCCAGUGAGCACAUAAGGAAAUGACCACAGACACCUGGUGGUCAUUAGAAAGAGAGCAGAUUGGGGAAGCCCUGGGGCAGCCUCCCUUAUAUAAAGCAAAGACAUCAAGGCAUGAUGGGCAAAUGAAGGGGUGACAGUCCACAGAGACAAGAAUGGGUGAGGGCUGAAGGGACUCCAGGAGCUUCAUGGCCACCCCUGGAAGGCACCCUGUUAUAACUGGUACCUCCUCACCAGGCCCUCCCAGCAGAAAGUGAGGCUCCCUCACUCAACUGAGCUGCACUCCAAUGGUUUACUGACAAUAGGGGCAUUGCUAUAUUGUUCAAAUACAAGUUUGGUCCUCAAGAACUUUGCUUUGUCUUCCUGUUCCUCUCAUUCCCUCUGGGGGAGGGCAAAAAGGGUGAUCAUAACAUGAGGGCAAUAAGGUGAUUGUCAGCAUCAUCCCUGGACAGCCCCAGAUCUGGAACAGGACCUGACACCAUUUGGGACCGGGGCUGACAGUCACCUGAUUGUCUACAUGGGCCCUCAACAGCCCUGGGUCCUGGGGAUCGGGGGAUUGGGCUGGGGGUAGCUCCAGGUCCUGAACUGAGACACAGGGCUAUCCUUUACUAAUCCGCUUCACUGGGCAUGGGGACACAGGUGACAUGUCGGGGGGGGCAGGUGGCCCCCCCCCCAGAUUUCUGCAUUGAUGGUGGGGCACAGAGCUGCAGCCCAGCCAGAAACAGGGCCUGAAAGCAGUGGGGGUGGCAGCAUCAGUGGUGCAAUUUCUGCACUGACCACUGGGCAUGGGGCUGGAGCCUGGUCAGAGCCAGUGCCCGGCAAGUGGGAGCAGCAGCCGUGUCGAGUUGUAAACCCCACUGUCAACACUUACACGUCACCUCUGCAUGGGGAUCAGGGACAGGGCUAUCCCAGAGCCCGGGACAGAGCUACCCCCUGCCCAAUCUGCAGCCUUGUAGUGGUGUGAUUGGGUCCUGAGGAAUUUUAUGUCCCAUCCCAAACAUUGCAUGUCCUGCCUUGCAUGUCUGGCAUGGUGGGAUGCACAAUUUUUGGGAUAGGGCACAAAAUUCCUCAGAUCCCAAUCAUUAUUUGAAGAUCUGCAACUACUUGGCCAUUGGGAACAGAAGAUGGCAAGGCUGCCCUCCUCCAUUUUAUGGCUAGUGCCUAUUCCCAGGAGCUUACAUAGUCAUCUUAAGUGGCCAGGAAUAGAUUUCCACCCCGUAUAUAAGUGCCAAAGAUAUCAUGUGGAUGACCCAGACUGGCCACACAGACAACCAAGACGGGACCAGAACAACACCCAAUGUAUACUAAUGUUAAGCUGCUCAGAAGAAAUGAAUUUUUUCUGCGUGGUUCCUGGAGCACUGAAAUGUUCCUGGGGGCUAUGACAUCCCUUCAAAUAAGUUUCCUUUACCGAACACAAGUGCCUGCCUGCUUUACUGCCCCAGGGUCUCUGAACUGCCAAGAGUGCUUCAGUGGAAGGCAAACAUAAGAUUCAAAGGGUCUUCUGCAGAAAGCGUUGAUGGUACUUCUCCAGUGAUUUGAGGUGUCUCUUGUAUGUUGUCCAUAUCUCAGCUCUGAGAUGGGGAUCAUGACUGCUUGAUAAAUCAUGAGCUUGGUUUUGGACCGGAUAUUGCAAUCUUCGAACACCUAUUUCCUCAAGCGUCUGAAGGCUGCGCUUGCAAAUUUAAGUUGCUGCUGGAUUUCUUUGUCCACGUCAGCCUUCUGCAAGAGAUGGCUUCCGAGGUAUGGGAAAUACAGUCCAAUGUCUUCCAGGAGUUUCUAAGUCUUCUCAUAUAAUGGCCUGGUUGAAAUUUCCUGAGGAGAGACAACUACCACCACCUGUUCUUUGCGGAGAAUCAGGUUCUUUCUAAGUGGUGUAGCCCGUGUGGCUAGAAGCAGUGGAAUAUAUGCUGUACUUCAUCAUAAGAUUGUCUGUUUCUGUAAAAUGGCUUGGUUCAGAACCUGGAAUAAUAUGUCCUGGGUUAUGAGGGUUUCCUCAUCUGAUAAAUCACCUCAUCCUGGUCCAUUGACUUUGUACUGUUUCCAUAAGCACUUUCAAUUUGUGCUUUGCUAGUGUUUUAUUCCACUCUAUCCCCAAAGAAACACAAACACUUAAUCAUGCAGGUUGCACAGCAUAUUUAGUACAUGAGAAGGAGAACAGGAGAGGAAACAAAAGAGGGGAAAAUAACUCUGCCAAAAAUCCAAUGUGCUGAAGUUGUUCUUUUCAAAGAAGUCCUACACACAUCAAUUUGACCCAACACCCACUUUCUGUCUACCGUGGCCUGUCUGCCAGCAGACAUUAACAUUGCCUUUAUUUCCUGCGAUGGUCAUACUGUACCAGCGCAAAAUCACUGAACCUAAAUUUAACCUUAGCAAUGUUGUAAAGAAGGUGUCAAGCCACAACAUCCAGUCCCAGGUUAUGAACACUCCCUAAAUUCAAGAGUGUGGAGAAAUUUUG